rnacentral:rRNA from 1 species
AUUGAACGCUGGCGGCAGGCCUAACACAUGCAAGUCGAGCGGAUGAGUGGAGCUUGCUCCAUGAUUCAGCGGCGGACGGGUGAGUAAUGCCUAGGAAUCUGCCUGGUAGUGGGGGACAACGUUUCGAAAGGAACGCUAAUACCGCAUACGUCCUACGGGAGAAAGUGGGGGAUCUUCGGACCUCACGCUAUCAGAUGAGCCUAGGUCGGAUUAGCUAGUUGGUGAGGUAAAGGCUCACCAAGGCGACGAUCCGUAACUGGUCUGAGAGGAUGCUCAGUCACACUGGAACUGAGACAAGGUCCAGACUCCUACGGGAGGCAGCAGUGGGGAAUAUUGGACAAUGGGCGAAAGCCUGAUCCAGCCAUGCCGCGUGUGUGAAGAAGGUCUUCGGAUUGUAAAGCACUUUAAGUUGGGAGGAAGGGCAGUAAGUUAAUACCUUGCUGUUUUGACGUUACCAACAGAAUAAGCACCGGCUAACUUCGUGCCAGCAGCCGCCGUAAUAC